CUCGAUGAUGACAAUGACAGUCCGGCCCACGGGCAGCAGAUCAUGGUCUUGUCCGUCUGGAUGAAGAGGUACCCGCUCUGCAGGCUGACCAGCACUACCUUCUCCAGCUGCGUGCCCCCGAAGGCCGCCUGCACGAUCACGAACUUGUGCCCCUUAUCCGACCGGAACUCCUUGCUGGACGGGAUCUGGGCCAGAGCCGGGGGUGUGGUCAGGGGGUCUGCUGGUGGCCACACCCGGCUUCCAGCCUCUGACCAGACCACUGCCCCUCCUACUCUUUCUCACUACACAGCCGGCCUA
rnacentral:lncRNA from 1 species